rnacentral:rRNA from 1 species
GACGAACGCUGGCGGCGUGCUUAACACAUGCAAGUCGAACGGAAAGGCCCUGCUUUUGUGGGGUGCUCGAGUGGCGAACGGGUGAGUAACACGUGAGUAACCUGCCCUUGACUUUGGGAUAACUUCAGGAAACUGGGGCUAAUACCGGAUAGGAGCUCCUGCUGCAUGGUGGGGGUUGGAAAGUUUCGGCGGUUGGGGAUGGACUCGCGGCUUAUCAGCUUGUUGGUGGGGUAGUGGCUUACCAAGGCUUUGACGGGUAGCCGGCCUGAGAGGGUGACCGGCCACAUUGGGACUGAGAUACGGCCCAGACUCCUACGGGAGGCAGCAGUGGGGAAUAUUGCACAAUGGGCGGAAGCCUGAUGCAGCAACGCCGCGUGCGGGAUGACGGCCUUCGGGUUGUAAACCGCUUUCGCCUGUGACGAAGCGUGAGUGACGGUAAUGGGUAAAGAAGCACCGGCUAACUACGUGCCAGCAGCCGCGGUGAUACGUAGGGUGCGAGCGUUGUCCGGAUUUAUUGGGCGUAAAGGGCUCGUAGGUGGUUGAUCGCGUCGGAAGUGUAAUCUUGGGGCUUAACCCUGAGCGUGCUUUCGAUACGGGUUGACUUGAGGAAGGUAGGGGAGAAUGGAAUUCCUGGUGGAGCGGUGGAAUGCGCAGAUAUCAGGAGGAACACCAGUGGCGAAGGCGGUUCUCUGGGCCUUUCCUGACGCUGAGGAGCGAAAGCGUGGGGAGCGAACAGGCUUAGAUACCCUGGUAGUCCACGCUGUAAACGGUGGGUACUAGGUGUGGGGUCCAUUCCACGGGUUCCGUGCCGUAGCUAACGCUUUAAGUACCCCGCCUGGGGAGUACGGCCGCAAGGCUAAAACUCAAAGGAAUUGACGGGGCCCCGCACAAGCGGCGGAGCAUGCGGAUUAAUUCGAUGCAACGCGUAGAACCUUACCUGGGUUUGACAUGGAUCGGGAGCGCUCAGAGAUGGGUGUGCCUCUUUUGGGGUCGGUUCACAGGUGGUGCAUGGCUGUCGUCAGCCCGUGUCGUGAGAUGUUGGGUUAAGUCCCGCAACGAGCGCAACCCUUGUUCACUGUUGCCAGCACGUUAUGGUGGGGACUCAGUGGAGACCGCCGGGGUCAACUCGGAGGAAGGUGGGGAUGACGUCAAGUCAUCAUGCCCCUUAUGUCCAGGGCUUCACGCAUGCUACAAUGGCUGGUACAGAGAGUGGCGAGCCUGUGAGGGUGAGCGAAUCUCGGAAAGCCGGUCUCAGUUCGGAUUGGGGUCUGCAACUCGACCUCAUGAAGUCGGAGUCGCUAGUAAUCGCAGAUCAGCAACGCUGCGGUGAAUACGUUCCCGGG